GAUGAACGCUGGCGGCGUGCCUAAUACAUGCAAGUCGAGCGGACGGACGAGAAGCUUGCUUCUCUGAUGUUAGCGGCGGAGGGGUGAGUAACACGUGGAUACCCUACCUAUCAGACUGGGAUAACUUCGGGAAACCGGCGCUAAUAGCGGAGAAUCUUUUGAACCGCGUGGGGCAAAAGAGAAAGACGGCCUUGCUGUAUGGUAUAGAUGGAUCCGGGCUGCAUUAGCUGGUUGGUAAGGUAACGGCCUACCAAGGCAAGCAUGCGUAGCCGAGGGGAGAGGCGGAUAGGCGACCUUGGAGCUGAGACACGGUCCAGACUCCUACGGGAGGCAGCAGUAGGGAAUCUGACGCAGUGGGCGAAAGCCUGACGGAGUAACGGCGCGCGAGUGACGGAAGUCCCGGGAGCGUAAUACCCUGUUAUGAGUGAAGAACAGAUGUGUAAGGAACCGUGCCGAGCGUGACGGUACCUAAUAAGAAAGCCACGGCUAACUACGUG
rnacentral:rRNA from 1 species